rnacentral:rRNA from 1 species
UAUUGAUGAAGGCAGGCAAAUCCACCUUCAGAGUCGAACCUGAUAGUACCGAGCGUUCUUGAACAAUCGGAUAAUAAGUGUAAACAGACUUCCAAGAAAAACCGCUAAACGUUAAUUCAUACGGUACCCGUACUACAAACGGACACACGUGGUCAAGUAUAGAGUACUAAGGCGCUCGAGUGAUUCGCGGCUAAGGAACUAGGCAAAAUAGCCCUGUAACUUCGGGAGAAAGGGCACCUACCCAAGCAAUUGGGAGGUCGCAGAGAAAUGGCUCAGGCGACUGUUUAACAAAAACAUAGGGCUUUGCAAAAUCGAAAGAUGAGGUAUAAGGCCUGACACCUGCCCGGUGCUGGAAGGUUAAGAGGAGAAGUCAUCGUAAGAGAAGCUUUGAAUUGAAGCCCCAGUAAACGGCGGCCGUAACAAUAACGGUCCUAAGGUAGCGAAAUUCCUUGUCGGGUAAGUUCCGACCUGCACGAAUGGUGUAACGAUCUGAGCACUGUCUCAGCCGCGAGCUCGGUGAAAUUGUAGUAUCGGUGAAGAUGCCGAUUACCCGCAACGGGACGGAAAGACCCCGUGAACCUUUACUGCAACUUAACAUUGAAUUUGGGUAAUUGAUGUGUAGGAUAGGCCGGAGGCUAUGAAUCGGGUACGCUAGUAUUCGUGGAGCCAACCUUGAAAUACGGCCCUUUAAUUAUUUGAGUUCUAAUUCCCAAAGGGAAGACACUGUUUGGUGGGUAGUUUGACUGGGGUGGUCGCCUCCAAAAGCGUAACGGAGGCUUCCAAAGGUACCCUCAGGCCGAUUGGUAACCGGUCGAAGAGUGUAAUGGUAUAAGGGUGCUUGACUGAGAGACCGACAAGUCGAUCAGGUAGGAAACUAGGGCAUAGUGAUCCGGUGGUUCCGUAUGGAAGGGCCAUCGCUCAAAGGAUAAAAGGUACUCCGGGGAUAACAGGCUGAUCAUUCCCAAGAGCUCAUAUCGACGGAAUGGUUUGGCACCUCGAUGUCGGCUCGUCACAUCCUGGGGCUGGAGAAGGUCCCAAGGGUUCGGCUGUUCGCCGAUUAAAGUGGCACGCGAGCUGGGAUCAGAACGUCGUGAGACAGUUCGGUCCCUAUCUGUUGUGGGCGUAGGAAAUUUGAGGAGUUCUGACACUAGUACGAGAGGACCGUGUUGGACGAACCGCUGGUCUACCGGUUGUUCCGCCAGGGGCAUUGCCGG